UACGUAGGGUGCGAGCGUUAAUCGGAAUUACUGGGCGUAAAGGGUGCGCAGGCGGCGUCGCAAGUCAGGCGUGAAAUCCCCGGGCUUAACCUGGGAACUGCGUUUGAAACUACAAGGCUAGAGUGUGGCAGAGGGGGGUGGAAUUCCACGUGUAGCAGUGAAAUGCGUAGAGAUGUGGAGGAACACCGAUGGCGAAGGCAGCCCCCUGGGUUAACACUGACGCUCAGGCACGAAAGCGUGGGGAGCAAACAGG
rnacentral:rRNA from 1 species